UGGACAGCCCUAACUCCCAUGAUGGCCUAGACAUGGAAUGAAUCAGACCCAUGGAGGGAGCGGAAGGCCCUGGACGUCUCUCAGCACAAGUGGGGCCCCGGCCGUCGAGCCGGGCAGAGGACAGUUUGGCCUUCCUCCAGAAACCUCUGUGUGUGUCGAGGGGAGAAGGGCGGGGCUCUCGCUCCGUGUCACCCCACCUGCUGCAGUCUCCUGAACUGUCAUCCACCCUCUGCAGCCCCAGAAGGAAUAGAAUAGAUGCUGAGUCCAAGCACGUAUCUCACAGCCCCAUGCCGGAUUGCCCAGAGACUCCACAGGCUGACUUGGCCCAUCUUUUACAGCCAGUGCAGGCUGACUGCUUCUGGUUGUGAUCUGCAGACUCUGGCUGCGGGUCCCCUGAAGGAGCUCUUGCUGGAGUGGGGCACACUGGCACUGGGGCCCAGACACCCCCCCCCACCUAUGAAAGGAGAUUGCUCUCUGCCCCGCGCUGCCCAGGGCAGGACUGAGAUGACGGGAGAUGCCAGACCCAGGAGCCGUGUGGCCCCGAGGCUGGGGCCUCCUGUGCUGAAGCCCCCAGUGGAACCCAUCC